rnacentral:tRNA from 1 species
GUCCCUGUAGCGCAAUGGAUAGUGCUUUGGACUUCUAAUCCAAAGGUCGUGGGCUAGAAUCCCACUUGGGAUG